rnacentral:ncRNA from 1 species
CGAGAUAAAGCCAAACUUAUCAUAAGAUAAGGACGGAAAGCUACGGGUCUCAACAGAUAGCCGAGCUGCCUUGA